GAUGAACGCUGGCGGCGUGCCUAAUACAUGCAAGUCGAGCGAACAGAUAAGGAGCUUGCUCCUUUGACGUUAGCGGCGGACGGGUGAGUAACACGUGGAUAACCUACCUAUAAGACUGGGAUAACUUCGGGAAACCGGAGCUAAUACCGGAUAACAUAUUGAACCGCAUGGUUCAAUAGUGAAAGGCGGCUUUGCUGUCACUUAUAGAUGGAUCCGCGCCGUAUUAGCUAGUUGGUAAGGUAACGGCUUACCAAGGCAACGAUACGUAGCCGACCUGAGAGGGUGAUCGGCCACACUGGAACUGAGACACGGUCCAGACUCCUACGGGAGGCAGCAGUAGGGAAUCUUCCGCAAUGGGCGAAAGCCUGACGGAGCAACGCCGCGUGAGUGAUGAAGGUCUUCGGAUCGUAAAACUCUAUUAUCAGGGAAGAACAAAUGUGUAAGUAACUGUGCACAUCUUGACGGUACCUGAUCAGAAAGCCACGGCUAACUACGUG
rnacentral:rRNA from 1 species